GUUUUUUGUUCUUAGAUAGGUACAAUUACCUGAUAUUUAAAAUUUUCGUACAUUAUAUAAUUGCCUUUAUAUACUUCUAAUGAAGAUAUAGUAUAGUUCAGUUGUGAUUGAUUUAGUUUUGGUCGUGUCAAGCCAUUUUUCUACAGUAAAUUGUGUAAUGUUUGGAUCAAAAUAUAAAGUUAUUAUUACAGAACUAAUGAUGGAUAACCUAUACGUACAAGAAAGAUUCGUGUGUGAGUACUGCCAGAUCCAGUCCUAACCUUGAAUACCUUAUUAACGCUAUGUUUACUAUGAUUUUUGUGAAUCCCAGAUGAUAUCUCACAUAGGAUCCGACGUAGGAUCACUGGAAUGAUAUAGCGAAGGGGAAGUGGCGAUGGGCGGGGCACAUAGCUCGAAGAACCGAUGGCCGAUGGGGUGGAAAGGUUCUGGCGUGGUGACCGCGUACCGGGCGCCGUAUUGCCGGUAGGCCCCCAUGAAGUGGAUCGAUGAUCUGGUCAGGGUCGCGGGAAGCCACUGAAUGCAUGCUGUGCAGGACCGAUCGUCGUGGAAAACAUUAGGGGAGGCUUAUGUCCAGCUGUGGGCGUCAGUGAGCUGAGAUUAUGAUGAUGAUGACGAUGAUGAUUUCUCAGUAAAAUUCCGCAGUCGCAAUCCUGAAUGCGACAUAUGUUCAGAAAAUCCUAAAAUAACGAAGUUACUUGAC
rnacentral:misc_RNA from 1 species